UUUAGGUCGCCGCCGCCAAUGGCUCCUCUCCCGUACUCCGCCGCGCCCACCACGGAAACCGCCUCUCCGCCUGUGUCCGCCGCCAUGCCACCAACGAUGGUCGGCCGUCCGUUAGGUCGUGGUUUCGCACUUGCAUGAGCUCCUUCCGCUUUUUACGAAUCUCUUGCGGUUCCUAAGACUGCACUUAAGACGCUUGCAAGAAUGCCAAACCCUGUUUCUUCUGCAAUUGGUAUAUUCUUGGAACCAGGUUUAUGUGGAUUCUAGGUGCUGUUCUGAUAUCCAGUACGAGAGAAGAGAACCAGAUACGCAGGAUGAUGCUGACAUUCUCGAUUUGCUCAUGAGCGUAAGACAUAGGAAGUAUGCCAAAAGUGUAACAUAGAUCGCUUUCAAGCUGUACCUGAAGUAUAGACUCAUAAAAUUCCAUUGCAAUGGAGUUGCAUCCAACCAUUCAUGUAAGAAGGUAGCUGAAUCCUGUUUCUUGCAACCCUUACGUUCUUCUAUCGAAUCAUACUUUAUCAUAUGGAUGCAGUUAAACUUUCUGAUAAAUCUAGAGAUUUGUGAGAAAGAAUUUUAAUAUCUCAUGGAGGGAUAAGGGCAGCA